GGCACCACAACAGGUGGAGCCUGCGGUUUAAUCGGACUCAACGCCCGGGGAAAACUCACCAGAUAAGACAGCUGAAUGAUAGUCGGGCUGAAGACUCUACUUGACUAGCUGAGAGGAGGUGCAUGGCCGUCGUCAGUUCGUACUGUGAAGCAUCCUGUUAAGUCAGGCAACGAGCGAGACCCACGCCAACAGUUGCCAGCUCGUCCUCCGGGAUGGUGGGGACACUGUUGGGACCGCCUCUGCUAAAGAGGAGGAAGGAAUGGGCAACGGUAGGUCAGCAUGCCCCGAAUUAUCUGGGCUACACGCGGGCUACAAUGGGUGGGACAAUGGGUAUCGACACCGAAAGGUGAAGGCAAUCUCCUAAACCCAUCCGUAGUUCGGAUUGUGGGCUGCAACUCGCCCACAUGAAGCUGGAAUCUGUAGUAAUCGUGUCUCAAAAUGGCACGGUGAAUAUGUUCCCGGGCCUU
rnacentral:rRNA from 1 species